AAAAGUGGCCUCAUUUCCUGGCGUCAUUCAGAGUGAUGCCAGCCAGAGGCUGCCCUUGAAGAUCGCCAGGGUUCAGGGACUGCCCGUGAAGGAAGGGACUGUCAUCACUGCUCUGCUGGUUUCAGAUUUCAGCCAUCAUAACUUUGUCUACUUGUAUGUGGUAUGAAAACAGAGUGACAGUAAUUUGUGCUUGGUGCUCAUCAGGCACACUGUAAUUGGGGGGAGAGCUUAGGGUCUGCUGGAAUCUAAUUUAAUCGAUGAGCUCCACCAGCAGGCCAAGUUCCCUGGGAGACUGGUUUACAUUCAGCUGUAUUUCCCCAGCACAGGGUUUUGCUUCACAUCCCUGCUCCACAGUCUGUCAGAAGAAGGAUUUGAACAUACAUCUCUGACAUUCAAGAAGGGCGUCAGUAUGUCUCCAUCUUCAAACAAGCUGGGAACAUGGGACAUUUGACAGAGAUUGUUCCUUUGAAGUCAAUACUAAAUUGAGGCCUGUCUGCAAUAUUGAAUUUGUAUUCCAAAGGAAAGAGCUCUUACAGAAAUAUCUAGAGAAACAGUGCCUUUGCUGAAAUGUUCUGUGUUAGUCUCUUGCUAUAUCAGGACCAGGGUGGUAAUGUUGCUGCUAUAAAACCAGUGAGAAGCAUCUACUUUUAAAUGUGUUGGUUUUUGUCUUACUCAUGCUUUGCACCAGGGUACAAAAAGAGAGAUUUUUAUUCUUCAGCAUUUAAAUAUUAAAGGAAAAAAAAUUUGAAAUUACUUACAUUGGUAAUUCCCAAAGAUUUUCCAUGCCAGCAUAAAAAAACUUAGGAAA